GUCGAGCGGAUGAAGGGAGCUUGCUCCUGGAUUCAGCGGCGGACGGGUGAGUAAUGCCUAGGAAUCUGCCUGGUAGUGGGGGAUAACGUCCGGAAACGGGCGCUAAUACCGCAUACGUCCUGAGGGAGAAAGUGGGGGAUCUUCGGACCUCACGCUAUCAGAUGAGCCUAGGUCGGAUUAGCUAGUUGGUGGGGUAAAGGCCUACCAAGGCGACGAUCCGUAACUGGUCUGAGAGGAUGAUCAGUCACACUGGAACUGAGACACGGUCCAGACUCCUACGGGAGGCAGCAGUGGGGAAUAUUGGACAAUGGGCGAAAGCCUGAUCCAGCCAUGCCGCGUGUGUGAAGAAGGUCUUCGGAUUGUAAAGCACUUUAAGUUGGGAGGAAGGGCAGUAAGUUAAUACCUUGCUGUUUUGACGUUACCAACAGAAUAAGCACCGGCUAACUUCGUGCCAGCAGCCGCGGUAAUACGAAGGGUGCAAGCGUUAAUCGGAAUUACUGGGCGUAAAGCGCGCGUAGGUGGUUCAGCAAGUUGGAUGUGAAAUCCCCGGGCUCAACCUGGGAACUGCAUCCAAAACUACUGAGCUAGAGUACGGUAGAGGGUGGUGGAAUUUCCUGUGUAGCGGUGAAAUGCGUAGAUAUAGGAAGGAACACCAGUGGCGAAGGCGACCACCUGGACUGAUACUGACACUGAGGUGCGAAAGCGUGGGGGAGCAAACAGGAUUAGAUACCCUGGUAGUCCACGCCGUAAACGAUGUCGACUAGCCGUUGGGAUCCUUGAGAUCUUAGUGGCGCAGCUAACGCGAUAAGUCGACCGCCUGGGGAGUACGGCCGCAAGGUUAAAACUCAAAUGAAAUUGAC
rnacentral:rRNA from 1 species